CCCCAGUGAGGAGCUGCGAGCGGCUGGAGAUUGUUGGUGGUCGGCGAGGCAGAGGGAGGCCUAAGAAGUAUUUGGGAGAGGUGAUUAGGCAGGACAUGACUAGAAUGCAGGUUUCCGAGGACAUUACCCUUGAUAGGAAAGUCUGGAGGUCUAGAAUCAGGGUUGUAGGAUAGGGGCUCCUAGAGUUUUUCGUACGCCUCAU
rnacentral:lncRNA from 1 species